AGUGAACGCUGGCGGUAGGCCUAACACAUGCAAGUCGAACGGCAGCACAGGAGAGCUUGCUCUCUGGGUGGCGAGUGGCGGACGGGUGAGGAAUACAUCGGAAUCUACCUUUUCGUGGGGGAUAACGUAGGGAAACUUACGCUAAUACCGCAUACGACCUACGGGUGAAAGUGGGGGACCGCAAGGCCUCACGCGAUUAGAUGAGCAGAUGUCCGAUUAGCGAGUUGGCGGGGUAAUGGCCCACCAAGGCGACGAUCGGUAGCUGGUCUGAGGGGAUAAUCAGGCACACUGGAACUGAGACACGGUCCAGACUCCUACGGGAGGCAGCAGUGGGGAAUAUUGGACGAUGGGCGCAAGCCUGAUCCAGCCAUACCGGGUGGUUGAAGAAGGCCUUCGGGUUGUAAAGCCCUUUUGUUGGGAAAGAAAUCCUGUCGAUUAAUACUCGGUGGGGAUGACGGUACCCAAAGAAUAAGCACCGGCUAACUUCGUGCCAGCCGCCGCAGUAAAAC
rnacentral:rRNA from 1 species